GUGUCAGCCGCCGCGGUAAUACGAAGGGGGCUAGCGUUGUUCGGAAUUACUGGGCGUAAAGCGCACGUAGGCGGACAUUUAAGUCAGGGGUGAAAUCCCGGGGCUCAACCCCGGAACUGCCUCUGAUACUGGGUGUCUUGAGUGUGGUAGAGGUGAGUGGAAUUGCGAGUGUAGAGGUGAAAUUCGUAGAUAUUCGCAGGAACACCAGUGGCGAAGGCGGCUCACUGGACCACAACUGACGCUGAGGUGCGAAAGCGUGGGGAACAAACAGGAUUAGAUACCCUGGUAGUCCACGCCGUAAACGAUGGAAGCUAGCCGUCGGAGGAUUUAUCCUUCGGUGGCGCAGUUAACGCAUUAAGCUUCCCGCCUGGGGAGUACGGUCGCAAGAUUAAAACUCAAAGGAAUUGACGGGG
rnacentral:rRNA from 1 species